ensembl:lncRNA
CUUUUAUCGGCAUGCAGAAAAGUCUUUGAUAUCUGGGGUCUUGAGCUUACUCUGGGACUGGCUUGUGCAAUGUGGAGGUUGCUGAGAUGAGUCACUGUGUGGAAAUCCUUGUAGAUUCUGCAUACAUCUGGAUAGGCACUUACCCAUGUAUGCUCCUGGAGGGCAGAUAUUUCACCGAACCACAGGCUGGAAGGACCUCUGGAUCCAUCUGGUCCAACACCUGCUCACGCAAGGACACCCAAAGCAGGAUGCCCAGGCCCAUGUCUAGGUGGCUUCUGAGGAUCUCCUUUUCCUUUCUCCUGUUUAUAGUGUAUUUAUAUGUUAAAUUGGAAAGACAUUUCUGACACCCACAUGUUCAGCCACUGAAAGUGAGCCCUUGUGGUUCUUAAAAGAAACUGCUUCCUCUUUUAGGGUUUUCUAAGAUGUGGUGGUCCUGAUAAAACUGUAGGAAUACCUGAAUUCAUAGGAAGAAUGAAUAUGUUCAGAGCUGUGUGAAAUAAGACACAUAUCCCCAAAUUUCCCUUAUAUAACAUAGGAAUCUGAUUUGCUUUGUAGCUGUAUCGAGAAUAAAAGCUUUCCUUUA